GUGCGUUCAGCCUCACUUCCCCCUUAGGCGGAGAGAAGGAUACAGGGAAGCUUGGUAAAAAACAGAAUUAAAGGGAAUGGGUGUCGGAAGCCGAGGGUCUGAAGUUCACGACUCAUAGAAGGGGAGGGGAAUUGAAAGGCUCUCAGUGAAGAAGGUCCAGAAUCCUCCAGAUCACUUUACCAAUAAGUUCAAUAUGUAAAACAGACCAAUGUGGUUGAAAUGGGAACGAAUGAGAAUUAUUCCAACUUGCCAGCAGUACUUACCCCCUUUUCCACCCUCCCCAAAGGGUGUACUUUGAAAACCAUUGGAAAAACUCACCCCCUCAUGAAUGGCUUGAAAUACCCCAUCUGUAACAUGCUACAUUAAAACGUUUGCCUAUCUCAGUUAUUUUUCUGCCAGUCUCAUACUUUAAUUUAUGGAGCCUAGGACCUUUAUAAUUUAACAAAAGAAAUUGAAACAUCUAAUAAAUAACAACAUGAGAUUUGGGGAGACCCAUAAAA